rnacentral:rRNA from 1 species
UACGAAGGGGGCUAGCGUUGUUCGGAAUCACUGGGCGUAAAGCGCACGUAGGCGGACGUUUAAGUCAGGGGUGAAAUCCCAGGGCUCAACCCUGGAACUGCCCUUGAUACUGGACGUCUCGAGUCCGGGAGAGGUGAGUGGAACUCCGAGUGUAGAGGUGAAAUUCGUAGAUAUUCGGAAGAACACCAGUGGCGAAGGCGGCUCACUGGCCCGGUACUGACGCUGAGGUGCGAAAGCGUGGGGAGCAAAC